UGGCACAUAACUGUCCUUAAGAUAGUAGCUCGCCGUCAUGGGGUGUCGGGGGUCGGAGGUUCAAAUCCUCUCGUGCCGACCA
rnacentral:tRNA from 1 species